UACGUAGGGUCCGAGCGUUGUCCGGAAUUAUUGGGCGUAAAGAGCUCGUAGGCGGCCUGUCGCGUCGGCUGUGAAAACCUGGGGCUCAACCCCAAGCCUGCGGUCGAUACGGGCAGGCUAGAGUUCGGUAGGGGAGACUGGAAUUCCUGGUGUAGCGGUGAAAUGCGCAGAUAUCAGGAGGAACACCGAUGGCGAAGGCAGGUCUCUGGGCAUUAACUGACGCUGAGGAGCGAAAGCGUGGGGAGCGAACGGG
rnacentral:rRNA from 1 species